rnacentral:rRNA from 1 species
ACGAACGCUGGCGGCAUGCCUAACACAUGCAAGUCGAACGAGAUCUUCGGGUCUAGUGGCGCACGGGUGCGUAACGCGUGGGAAUCUGCCCUCAGGUUCGGAAUAACCAUUGGAAACGAUGGCUAAUACCGGAUGAUGACGUUAAGUCCAAAGAUUUAUCGCCUGAGGAUGAGCCCGCGUAGGAUUAGCUAGUUGGUGUGGUAAAGGCGCACCAAGGCGACGAUCCUUAGCUGGUCUGAGAGGAUGAUCAGCCACACUGGGACUGAGACACGGCCCAGACUCCUACGGGAGGCAGCAGUGGGGAAUAUUGGACAAUGGGCGCAAGCCUGAUCCAGCAAUGCCGCGUGAGUGAUGAAGGCCUUAGGGUUGUAAAGCUCUUUUACCCGGGAUGAUAAUGACAGUACCGGGAGAAUAAGCUCCGGCUAACUCCGUGCCAGCAGCCGCGGUAAUACGGAGGGAGCUAGCGUUGUUCGGAAUUACUGGGCGU